GUAUGCAGUUAUUAACUUGUUCUUGAGUAGAAAACCUCAAUUUCUGAUCUUUUUAUGCCAAAUUUCUGUAUUUUUCACAAUCAUAAUUUUAUCUUAAGGAAAAUACAAAAGGGAAGUCAAAUGGAUCAUAGUAUUACUCAUGUGGGCCAAUGAAAGUAAUGCUAAAAAAGCCACCAAUACAAUAUCUAGAUAAUUGAAGGGAAUUAUUUGUAACAUGACAGUCAUGUAUGAUAAUUUAAAACAAAUCAUAGCAAUCACAUAAGCUUGACUAAAACUUCUGAUGCGCAACAUAUAUUACAAGUUUUCCCCUUCUUUUCAGAUAGAACUAUUUUGGUAGGAAAACAACUCACAUGUGAAUAUCAGAUGAACCACAUAAUUCAAAUGUCUAGUGAAUAUCUAGCAUCUAGUGAAGAAAAACGAUUAAUGAACAUAUUUAGCUAAAUGCGAUAAUCAGCUCCCUGGAUAGACUUACGAUUGAUUUCCAUGGCAUAGACUGAAUUGCAUUCCAAUGGAACAAAAUGAAAAAGGAAGCAAGGAGAGAAAGAAAACAAUAGAAUAAUAUAGGGGGAAAAAACAGCAAAAAGAAAACAACAAAGAAGAUGAUUGAAAAUACAGUUUUGCUGCCAAGAAAGUAUAAACAACUCAAGUAUCAAGACAGUAGAGACAUAUAGUUAGAAAGAACAUCUUUGUUAAAACUGCAUGGUAUUCUGCAAUUUCCUUUUCAUUUUGUGUUCCCCGAAUGUUACACAUGGCAGCAAAUUCAUGACAUCAAAAUAAACCACAAAAUGCUGAUGGCAGAUGAUCGUUUAAAUAUAGAAAAUAUUUCAGGCAACUAAACAAAAUUGAUAGUCACCACAAACACAAAACAGCUCAAAGUUACCACAUGAAAUCAUUGUUUCAGCUAUUAAGGAAACAUUUCUCACUUAUUAUUAUUAUUAAGGACCAUCUUAGCUUUCAGUCCACUAGCUGUUUCUGCUGAAUAGCUAAGUUUCCAUUAAUAGUCAUGAUCCUGAUGUCAUUACAGUACAAUAUCACUAAAGCUCAUUUCGAUAGCAGUAUAGAUAUUUGCUCCCCAGCCCCUAAAUGGGGAUUGUAAAAGAAUCACAGUACUGAAAGACACUCAGCUCAGCUUCUCUAAUGCUUAAGAAUACGUUGAAUAACACUAACUUGUUGAUCAUGGACUUCUUGUAUUGUUUCAGAUAAGGUGCAAAGUGCUUAAUGCACUAAAGAAGGCCAGCUGCAUGUCUGACUGUACAAAUUUCAAAUGCUAACACAAAACUACCAGUAACAUGACAGUGACAGUAUUCAUCCGCAGUUUUUGUACAUAAAAUGCUUCUUCCAAAGCUGAAGUUAAUCAAGCUGAUUUUUAUUUAUGUAUUUUUAACUUUUAAUUUUUCUCUUCCUCAGAUGUAGAAAAUGAGAACGUGCUUGAUUUGUGAAAGUGAAGCAUUUCUGGAAAAGCAGAUACGUGUAUCCAUGCUAACAUAAAUGCAGAGUCUCAUUGCUUGUGCUACCAGCUGGAGAUGAGAAGCAUGUUGCCUGUUUAUUGUGUCUAUUUUGGCUCCUGUGUGAGCCAGUGUCACAAUGUAGGAUAUGACAAUCCAUUCCUGGACAGAUGGCCACCGUUCCAUCCGCACCAAGAUGAUAUAGUUAAAUAGCAUCAAGUAACCCAGGAGUCACCCAGUGCUGAAGGAAAUAAAGCAUCAGAUUUAAUGAACAACAGUGAGAAGAACAUCAGAGAGAACAUGGGAAGGAAGAAAGCACAACUAGGAGAACCGACUGCUACUACAUUGUACAGAACAUGAAAAACAACUGUUGAGUUCAUAUUUUCAUUUCUCUCUGAAGAAUGGGAACACCAUGGACUGUAACAGCAGAAGCUUCCCAACAUCCUCCUGUCAGUAUACCCCCAGCUCUGAUGAGGAGAAGUCACAGAGCAUUGACUGGCCUCUGUGUCCGUGAAAUCCUUUGUGACUACUGCUGAAAUUUCCAGAAGGGGUGCUUGUGCUUGAAAUGAUUAAAAAGAAAUAGAACAACUCCCUGUAUGUUUUUACUAGUAAAUGUACUGCAAAGCUUUACAGGAUUCAAAUAUCCUACAUGUAUUUCCAACUUUGCUCCUCCUGUGAAAAAUCUCUUCAAUAAGAACCAAUAUCCACAGCCUGAAGUAUUAAAAGAAAAACCACAAAACGUGUUGGCUCUAGGCCUCUUUCUGCAGAAGAUGUUAAAAGCAUAGGCAUAUUAGCCAUCUCACAUGUCUAUCUGGAGGCAGCAGGGCCUGAUACUGUCUCCACGUUCAAAGGCAAGAGGUGUAGUUUGGUGAGUUAACUUUCUUAAGCUAAUUGUAGGUUAAAAGCAGUAUCUGAAGACUUUCCAGAACACUUGGCUAUCUUUUGGUAGAUCUCUACAUGUAUCUUUAGUCUUACCCAGUACCCCAUUUUUCUGCUCUACUGUUAAGAGCACUUAAACCCUAUUAGAGACUUCUGAACAGCACAAUGCAAUUAGCAUCCUGAAUGCUUUGUUUUUUUCUUAUUUUUAUGGGCCUAUACAGCUUCUGAAGGCAUCUGUCAUAAAUCAGAAAGUCAGCUGAUAGAACUAAUGUCUAUUUUCCUGAAGCUUUUAAUCCAAGCAUGGAACCUAAGACCAACACAUUUCUCUUUAUCUUUUCUGAUUUUUUAAACUUGCUGGAAAGCCACCGUUACUAGCAUUUCUUAUCUAUUUCAUCUCUAAAUUUUUUAGUGAAAAAAUGUCAUUUAAAAUGCAUUUUUCUUAAAUAAUAAUGAAAACAAAUCUAGAAAAUGGUUUUAGAGAGGGCGUUAACUGACAUGAAUUUUAAAACUGCAUGAAACUCAAAAUAUAAAAAGACCACAAUGAAAUUAUAUCAGUAAUUGCUUCAUUAAAAAUAAAAAUGCUGAGCUGUGUCUGGAAGAUCACAGAAUUUUAAGUGCAAUACUUCAAACAAACCAACCCAUAUAAAAGAGAAAAACACAACCUUUAGUAAUAACAUCUGGAAUCGGAAGCCACAGAGACACAGAGGAUUCCUGUAAACAGGAUGUGCAGAAAAUCACCUCAUUCUGUGUAUUUACUGAUGCUUAAGAAUUCCUUCUAGAAAUGCAUAAAUAUUUUAUAUUUUCCUUUCUUUAAUUUCUUACUGCUUUGAACCUUUGUCUCACUAUUAUUUUUCAAUUUUUUCAUCCUUCUCUUAUAUAAUUCUUAAUCUUCUGGGUUUCCUAUGAUGUUAGAUGUGGGCUCCUCCAUUACUGCUCAGACAGUGUGUGUCUAGCUUAGUCUCACAGUCCUGAUCAAAUUCCUGCUAGGAAGAGCUGGUAGAAGCACAUAAUUUCAAUACCAGAAAGUUUCUCUUGCCUCUCCACCCUCCCUUCCCUUAAAGUGCUAUGCUUACGAUUUGCCUGACUGUACUUACGUGUAU